CCUACGGGAUGCAGCAGUGGGGAAUAUUGGACAAUGGGGGCAACCCUGAUCCAGCCAUGCCGCGUGUGUGAAGAAGGCCCUCGGGUUGUAAAACACUUUCAGUGAGGAAGAACGCCUGGUGGUGAAUACCCAUCAGGAAAGACAUCACUCACAGAAGAAGCACCGGCUAACUCCGUGCCAGCAGCCGCGGUAAUACGGAGGGUGCGAGCGUUAAUCGGAAUUACUGGGCGUAAAGCGCGCGUAGGUGGCUUGAUAAGCCGGUUGUGAAAGCCCCGGGCUCAACCUGGGAACGGCAUCCGGAACUGUCAAGCUAGAGCGCAGGAGAGGAAGGUAGAAUUCCCGGUGUAGCGGUGAAUUGCGUAGAGAUCGGGAGGAAUACCAGUGGCGAAGGCGGCCUUCUGGACUGACACUGACACUGAGGUGCGAAGGCGUGGGUAGCAAACAGGAUUAGAUACCCUUGUAGUC
rnacentral:rRNA from 1 species